CGCGUGGGAAUCUGCCCUUUGGUUCGGAAUAACAGCUGGAAACGGCUGCUAAUACCGGAUGAUGACGAAAGUCCAAAGAUUUAUCGCCAGAGGAUGAGCCCGCGUUGGAUUAGGUAGUUGGUGGGGUAAAGGCCUACCAAGCCGACGAUCCAUAGCUGGUCUGAGAGGAUGAUCAGCCACACUGGGACUGAGACACGGCCCAGACUCCUACGGGAGGCAGCAGUGGGGAAUAUUGGACAAUGGGCGAAAGCCUGAUCCAGCAAUGCCGCGUGAGUGAUGAAGGCCCUAGGGUUGUAAAGCUCUUUUACCCGGGAAGAUAAUGACUGUACCGGGAGAAUAAGCCCCGGCUAACUCCGUGCCAGCAGCCGCGGUAAUACGGAGGGGGCUAGCGUUGUUCGGAAUUACUGGGCGUAAAGCGCACGUAGGCGGCUUUGUAAGUCAGAGGUGAAAGCCUGGAGCUCAACUCCAGAACUGCCUUUGAGACUGCAUCGCUUGAAUCCAGGAGAGGUCAGUGGAAUUCCGAGUGUAGAGGUGAAAUUCGUAGAUAUUCGGAAGAACACCAGUGGCGAAGGCGGCUGACUGGACUGGUAUUGACGCUGA
rnacentral:rRNA from 1 species